UUGGAGGUAAUAUUUUCUGCGAAAUCAAAAACCGGGGAAGAAAAGAAAUCAUGUCACAAGAUCGUUGGAAACAUAUCCCACCUCAAGACUCUAUCUCAUAUUCUCAACACGUGUCACCGUAACUUUGUUUUUGAAGUGAACCUGUUUUUUCUCUUCCUUCUUCUUCUUCUCCCAAGACCAAGACUUCUUCCCACAUCAAACUCAACCCUCCCCAAAUCUAGCAGAAGAAGUGGAGAACUCAUUCAACUGGAUUUUUAUCGAAACCCUUUCUCCAUCUAAAGAGGAAUUACAACAGCUGACCGUCAAAAACUGAAUCCUUUUUUGCCUAAUUUAAGUGAGAAUGAGAUAAACAUAACUACUCAAGGGAGAAUGCGCAACUAUAUCACUUAUGCCACUGGUGUGCUUCAGGUGAAUCUAGAUUAGUUGAAGACGAAGUUGGAAAAGGAGAAUAUCACGUUUGGCUCGAGUAAGUGUUUCCAGGCUAAUCUGUUUGAGGCAAAUAUAUAGCUAGAAAAUAUUGUCUCUUUUUGUUUGUUCCGCGUGUGCAACUUCCUGAAGAAAUGUUGCAGAUGCUAUGUUCUUAAAUACACU